rnacentral:lncRNA from 1 species
GGUGCCAGAAGUUGUGGGUGGCAUAUUAAUCUUAGUCAGACUGAUGCCGACUAGAGAGAGCAGACUUUAGUCAGCUGAAAAUCCAUGCCGAUGUCCAGUGUCGACCUUGCCAGUUGGGACUGCUCAAUCCGAGCCAGGUUGAAUGAAGAUGGCUUAGUCGAUAAAGCUUCCUUAGUCGGCUCAAAUACGAGAAGGCUGGAUAGUCAGCUAAGUGACGGAGGAUCUACCCCAACACUUGCAUCCUAACU